rnacentral:rRNA from 1 species
UACGUAGGGGGCAAGCGUUAUCCGGAUUUACUGGGUGUAAAGGGAGCGUAGACGGUAAUGUAAGUCUGAUGUGAAAGCCCGGGGCUCAACCCCGGGACUGCAUUGGAAACUAUGUAACUAGAGUACCGGAGAGGUAAGCGGAAUUCCUAGUGUAGCGGUGAAAUGCGUAGAGAUUAGGAAGAACACCAGUGGCGAAGGCGACUUACUGGACUGUAACUGACGCUGAGGCAUGAGAGCAUGGGGAGCAAACAGG